AAAAAAUUCUAAAAAUAAUAAUUUUAUUCUGUCUCUAGACUCUUCUACUCAUGCACUAUAUUUUAGACACCUCUCUUCGCCAUUCUUCAAUCUCCACAAUUUCAAUCCUUCUCGAUUCUUCUUUUCUACUUCACAACAGGGCCUUUAAUUUUACGCUCUCGCUUACUUCUUCCAGAUCGUUCGAUCAAUCAAUCCAUAAUCUCACGCGGAAAUCAAAGAGAAAAGGAUCGUGAAAGGGCUCAAGCUAGGGCUAAUAGCAAAUCUAAGCAAGGAAAGAGUGAUGGAUUGACGCCAGAGCAACGAAGAGAAAGGGAUGCGAAAGCGUUACAAGAGAAGGCGGC